rnacentral:lncRNA from 1 species
UGGUCAUUGUCAAAUAAUGAUCAUGGAUAGACUACUCAAUGUGCAAUCCAGCUCUGCUCACCAUGCAACUAUUAUAGGUGAAUUAUCAUAGCCCUGAAUUUAUGAUGUCCUUAUGUUGGUGUUAAGAAAUAUGUCUUAAAGCUAAUAUUUGAUGAUUGUGCUAAUUAUAAAUCUAUAUAAAUUGAUAAAUAAUAAAAAUUAUU